rnacentral:lncRNA from 1 species
GCCCCGCCCCGCCUUGCGGCCCCGCUGAGCGCCCCCUCUCUUGCAGCCAUCUUCCAGAUCAUCCAGAGCAUCCGCAUGGGCAUGUGAGCCCCCGCCCCGCCGCGCAUUCCAGGCCCUUCGCCGCCAUUCCGAGCGUCCCAGUCCGUGCCACAGUGCCUUGAGCAGCACCACAUGUACACAGCAAUAAAGUUCUGUUGUUGAGCCCCAAUCGUGGACCUGCUUAUUCAGCAACGUAUCCUCCGUGCUCACGUAACGUGUCAGACUGCGCAGUGCGGGUUCCCGGGGACUGACGCCUGCUAGCUGGGGCGCGUUCCCUGCCCGCGAGCCGGCAUGGCCGGGCAGCAGCCCUUCCCGACAUCACCCGAUGCGGGGCUUCCACAAACUGCUCGUCCCCGAGGACACACGCUCCCAGGCUGCUUCUGGCAUUGGGCUGCAGCGGCGCUGCACGCACGUCUUGGAAACCUCCCACCGAGUCGUGGGCUCCGUUUCUAAAAUGCUGUGUGGGAUAGGGAUGCCUCGUGCAGGUAAAUCCUGCUUUCACCUUGAUGUGUCAUCCAACAAUGGAUCCAGUGCUAAGCUGCUCCCUCUGGAUGAUUGCAGUUCCUUACUAGUAGUGCUGAAAAACAGAAACCAAACCCUCCUUACCUGUAUAGAAGAAUGUAACUUAAAUCACAAUGGAAAGUGCUGCUAUUGAUCAUUCCUUAUUGCUGAUGGUCUCAGCUCUGUGAGGCUCUCCUACUGUCUGUUGUGGUAAACAAAGCAGUCUGAAAUAGGUCUGCUGUUGCAUGCAGUUGCUAAAGCAAGAUUUCUUUUUUUCAGGUUUCUUAGAAGACAUUUAAAGUCUGGUUACAUUAGUAGUAAUAGAUACAACUUUCUAUAGAGUUGAAUUUCAUGUCUUUUAGCUGUGAAGGAGCAGACUUUUUGCUGGUUGUCAUAUUUCCAUCUGGAAUCAUUGGAAGUGGUGUAAACUGGCAUGGCCCAGGCCAUGCCCCAGAACCAGGCUGUGCAACGCAACGACAUUCCUUAUUCCUGGAAGCUCAUAUUUUGUAAUCGAUGGGGGAGGGGAAGUCUGUAUAAUCUCUGAUUUUAAAUAAAGUUCUUCUCAAAUGUGAGUUGAGUUAAUUU